rnacentral:rRNA from 1 species
CGGGUGAGUAACGCGUGGGGAAUCUGCCUUUGAGCGGGGGACAACAUUUGGAAACGAAUGCUAAUACCGCAUAAAAACUUUAAACACAAGGUUUUAAGUUUGAAAGAUGCAAUUGCAUCACUCAAAGAUGAUCCCGCGUUGUAUUAGCUAGUUGGUGAGGUAAAGGCUCACCAAGGCGAUGAUACAUAGCCGACCUGAGAGGGUGAUCGGCCACAUUGGGACUGAGACACGGCCCAAACUCCUACGGAAGGCAGCAG